rnacentral:rRNA from 1 species
GGCGAUCUAGGCGGGCGAACCUCGCCAACGAACGAUCGGACAUGGGAUAACGGAAGAGGGCGUCGGCUCGACUUCGUCGGUUCCUCGGGCCGAGGCACGUACGGUGAAUAGGGACGGUCGGGGCCGCCCGUACCGGGUCGUGAGAGGUGAAAUUCUAGGAUCGACCCGAGACGAACCGCCGCGAAAGCAUUCGGCAAGGACGCUUUCAUUAAUCAAGAACGAAAGUCGGGGGAUCGAAGACGAUCAGAUACCGUCGUAGUCCCGACCGUAAACGAUGCCGACCGAGGGCCCCGGAGGAGUUACGUACGACCCUCCGGGCCCUCCCGCGAGAAAUCAGGAGUAUUCGGGUUCCGGGGGGAGUAUGGUCGCAAGGCCGAAACUUAAAGGAAUUGACGGAAGGGC